AUGCAUAAGGCAUAUAACCGUGUUGAAUGGGUCUUCCUGGAAGAGAUCUUGCUGAAGUUGGGUUUUCAUGAGGAUUGGGUCAACCUGGUGAUGCAAUGUAUGACUACGGACGAGUAUUUUGUUCGCUUUAAGUCUAUUGAAACUGAUACUUUCAAACCCACAAGAGGUUUACGUCCGGGAGAUCCUCUAUCACCAUAUUUGUUCCUGUUAUGUAUGGAGCGUUUAAUUGCAUUACUUGCACAUGAAGAAGAGGCUGGGAAUCUAGAGGGCGUAAAGGUAUGCAGAGAGGCCCCAUCAAUCUCUAAUCUCCUGUUUGCAGAUGACUCUUGA
rnacentral:rRNA from 1 species